CUGAAUAAUGUCUGUUAUAUGGAUAAUACCACAGUUUGUUUACCUGUUCCUAAGUUGAUGGACAUUUGGCUUGUCCUCACUCUGGGGCUGUUGCGUAGAGUAUGUUAGCUGCCCGGUUUGGAUUCACACCAGCCACUUCCUGGAAGGCAGCCCGCAACGCACUGGUGGCCACGUCCCUCACAGGCUGAGCCAGACCAAUGCUCCUCCCUGGGGACUUAGGCUCCAGACCCAGUGUCCAGAUCCCCUGGGUCCUGACCCCCUCAGACACCAGCUCUUCCAGUGAAUCGGAGUCUCUAUUCUUUCCCCAUCAGCCUCAGACUUCCCCACCCUCCCUCCAUCAGACAUGCUCUGAUAACACUGACCUUCAAAGCAAAACAGCAGAGUCCCAGCCACUCUCUCCGCUUCCUGGGCAUCUCUGUAAAUUGGUCCGUCGACUCGCAUCUCCCAGGUGGAGGCAUCUCCUAAUUUCCCCCACCGACCGCAUCGAAGCCCCAUGGCUUUGCCCAGCCCAAAGGGUUCUGCCGAGUUCCCCCCACUUCCAUUGGCAUAAUCUUUGGGAGGUUACCUUAUACCUCUGUACCUUGCACCCUGACCUCAAAGGAGACCUCAGAAGAAAUUCCAGUUUCCAUCCCCCAACAAAGAAAGGGUUCCAGCCCCUAAUCUUGGGUUGGUCCAGUUCACUAGUCUUAAGAUCUGGCCUCCUGGAGUUCCUCUUGUGGCUCAGCAGGUUAAGAACCUGACUAGUAUCUGUGAGGAUGGGGGUUUGAUCCCUGGCCUCAUUCAGUGGGGUAAGGAUCGGAUGUUGCUGCAAACUGCAGCUUAGGUUGCAGAUGUGACUCAGACACUGCAUUGCUGUGGCUGUGGUGUAGGCCAGCAGCUGCGGCUCCAAUUUAACCAUAUGCCACAGGUGCAGCCCUAAAAAAAAAGAAAAGAAAAAAAUAUCUGGCCUCCUGGACUGGCCCACGGGAGCUGUCACACUUCUCUGUAAUGUGAUGGUAUGAGUUCAAGGGGAGACCAUCUCAGGGUGGAGGAAGCUGGGACUGUCCCCAAAACUGGGGAGACCGUAGCCUUGACUUUUGCAAAGUCAUUUCACCAGAGGAGUUCUGGUUGUGGCUCAGUGGAAACGAGUCUGACUAGCAUCUAUGAGGAUGCAGGUUUGAUCCCUGGCCUUGCUCAGUGGGUUAAGGAUCCGGCGUUGCCGUGAGCUGUGGUGUAGGUCGCAGACGAGGCUUGGAUCCAGCUGUUACUGUUGUGGUGGUAGUGCAGGCUGGCAGCUGCAGCUCCAAUUCAACCCUAGCCUGGGAACCUCCAUAUGCCGCGGGUGCAGCCCUUAAAAAAAAAAUUUAAAAAUAAAAAAUAAAAAAAGGAUACGUUUCAGUGGCAUUUAGUACUUUCACAUUAUUGUACAAUCACCACCUAUAUCUAAUUCUAAAAUAUUUUCACCACCCAAAAGGAAACCCUGUCCCUGCCUCUCCUGCCUGCAGUCUCUGACAGACACUGAUGUACGUUCUGUCUCUAUGGAGUUGCCCCUCCUGGACACUUCACGAAAACAGCAUCACACAGCAUGUGACCCUUUGUGCCUGGCUCUUUUCACUAAGCCUAAUGUUUUCAAGGUCCAUCCGUGUUGAAGCACGUGUCAGUCUUUUGUUCCCCUUUAAGACGGGGCACGAUUGCAUUGUGUAGACAGACCGCGUUUGUUUAUCCACGGUUGUUAUGUUUAUGGAAGAUCUGAGCUGAGCUAAAACUUGCCCUGAGCCUCUCCAGGAAACAAGGUAGACCUCAGCACACGCUUGUUCCGGCUGAUGUUUUUGCCUCACCAAUAAAACAGUAGCAUGUUCUCAUGGUAAAACAAACAAAACUCAAAGCUACGCAUCCAGCGCUGAAACACCGGGGUUCUGAGCGUGCUCCUACAGUUAGAAGCACAGCUAGACGAGCAUAUGGGGCAGGGAGCCAGCCUGGCCAUUGCUGGUUGGCAUGUUUAACCCCUCCUCCACUGGCACCUUGUCCCCACCUAGAAACAUCCCCAGGCCUCCCUCUGAUUAGAACAAUGACACAAAUUUCCUCUGGCACCUACCACUUCCUCGGCUCACCACCAUGCUUCAUCACCACAAUUUUCUCGGCUUCCUCACACCCGCUCGUUGGUGAAUCCCUCUCAGUCUGGCUCCCAUGCCUGCAGCUCUCUGAAAGCCACUGCUGUCCCCAGCCACCACAUCCCGAGCGUGGCUGCAACCUCUCCCAACCUUC
rnacentral:lncRNA from 1 species